CACAAAACCACUUGAUCAGAUUCACACUACAUCUCACAACCAUUUCAGCCGACUCUUUCUCUGCGCAAGCCAAACCCGCAAUCCAUUGCACUCCAAAUACCACGAUACCAACCACUCUACUCUUUCAUUUUUGAUUCACAACAAAACCUCAUUUGUUCCCUGCCUUGUCCGAGAGCAUCCGAGAGAGUGAGAGAGCUGCUGGAAAUUUUUGGUCCUGCCGUGAGUAGAGCAAAGCCAGGAAGGAGAAUCUGCAGGAAGCUACACCAUCUCACCUUCAUCCGCAACCCAAUUCCAGCCGCAACUCAAACCAGGACCACGUCUGAACUUGGCCGAGAGUGAGGGAAGACAUUUCUGGAAAAUUCGUGUGAGGGUUUAGCUAUUAGCUUAGGUUUUGAGGCUUGAGAAGUUGGAUGCUGUUUUUAUUUGGUUAUACGUGUGUUUGGACAAUGUGGUUUUUAAGAAUUGUAAAUUUCAGUUUGUAACGUGUAAUCCUGCUUGCGUACUUUCGCCUUGUGUUACCACUUGAAGCUGGAAAAUGUGUGGCUCUCGUGGUGACCUAUGGCUGGGGUAUUUUUAUGUUUCCGCUGUUUGGGUUUUUGUACGUUAGGAUUGUACGACUUUGUUCUUGUAAAGCGCGUGAACGAUAGUUUUAAGAGCCGUCGAAGGGCUGACUUAUGUCACUGCUAUCCCUGAAGUUACUGUGGAGUUAUAAAGUUUUACUUGAAAGA